rnacentral:RNase_P_RNA from 1 species
AGUGGACUGUGUGGCAGCGCUCUUUUUGAGGGUGAGGAAAGUCCGAGCACCACAGGACAGAAUACCUGCUAACAGCAGGCGGAGGCGACUCUAGGGAUAGUGCAACAGAAAUAAACCGCUCAGUGUGUUUUUUGAGCAAGGAUGGAAAGGCGAGGUAAGAGCUCACCGGAACGCGGGGAACCGUGUUGCCAUGUAAACCCUAUUCGGUGCAACAUCAGCUGAGAAUAUCGUUUGUCCGGCGUUCUCGAAGGAUGGCUGAAAUGUUGCGGCAACGCAAUGUUAAGAUAGAUUGUCACAUAAACAGAACUCGGCUUAUAGGUCCAGU